ACGACCUUACUUGAAUAGGAUCUGUUCUAUAGACUCGUACCACUAUAUCCUUGAGUUCUAAGGAGACAGGGAACCAAGUUUGGUGGAUGAAUUAUGCCCAUUAGAUUAGAGCGUGAUUAACAACCCCCACAGCCCUCGGGUCAUGGUGCCGUAGAUGAUCGUUCUCAGCUCCAACUAUGGUGCCUGUGAUGGUCUAAUGGUUGUCUGACAGACU
rnacentral:snoRNA from 1 species